rnacentral:rRNA from 1 species
UACGUAGGGUCCGAGCGUUGUCCGGAAUUAUUGGGCGUAAAGAGCUCGUAGGCGGUCUGUCGCGUCGGCUGUGAAAACACGGGGCUCAACUCCGUGCCUGCAGUCGAUACGGGCAGACUAGAGUUCGGUAGGGGAGACUGGAAUUCCUGGUGUAGCGGUGAAAUGCGCAGAUAUCAGGAGGAACACCAGAGGCGAAGGCGGGCUACUGGGCUGAUACUGACGCUGAUGCGCGAAAGCUAGGGGAGCAAACAGG